UAAUAAUAAUAAUUUAAAAAAUGGUUUCCUUUCUAAGUCACUAAGUCCUGCUCUUAGAAUUAAUAAGCCACUAACAAUAGAGAUGUGAAAACGUUUAACGCUUAGUUCCUGAACGCAUUCAUAAUUGCUAAAUGUAUGUGCGAGUUUAAGUGUUAAACAGCGCCUAGUGUUCUGUCCUACUAACCAGAACGUUGUGAGUUUCCCGGACUAUCUGGAUUACAAUUGGGGCUUUUAACAAGGCUCUAAGCCCUCAAUUGCUCAGCUAUGUGCUUGGAAAGUAUUCUGCCUCACUAAUACAAGGAUUGUUAUGUUUGUAACAAAAUAGGCUGAAAAGAGAAUCGAAUGGGGCUUCUGGAUGGCAACAGAAAAGAGUUCAUUCUAUCAUUUGGAAGUUCCAAUCCCAACGAUACAACAACCAUUUGUGACUGGGAACAAUGGGAGCAAAACUGACCAUGAUCUCUGGGUGGGAGGGAUGGCAUACAAUCGCUCCCCUGUUAAUCACAGCAACACUAGCCAAUCAUGCGCCUCUGUGAGAUAAUGUACACAGAAAAGUACACAUAGCGCGUUACUUUUCUCCAAGUGUAUUACGCCGCCCUGUGAUGCAGCAUGAGUAGCAGGUUGAAAAGAUGUGGUGGCUGGCUUCUUGUGUCUCAGAGAGGUCAUGAAAUUGGAGACAGAUGCAAGUACAGGCUCUUCUUUAUUAAAGAAAAACAAGCAAAGUUAAGACAAGGGUCCAAAAGUGAGCAAAACAAAAACACGGCAGGAAGAAUUCAACAAACAACAGUCUAACAAAUCCAACAGAUGCUAAGUAACUAAAGGGAGAAUAAAAAGUCAUAGUGAGACUAACCACGAGGAACACAAAACAUGAAUUCUUUCACCACGGUCCUUGGAUUUCAAAUUAUUCCAGUGCGAGGAAACCAGAGAACCCAGAAGAGAGAACAUGCAAAACUCGACACGGACAGUAACCCGAGUUCAGGAUCAAACUGGGGCUCUGGCGCAGUGAGGCAGCAACAUGACCCACUGCACUGCUGUGCUACCCUCAUGCAAAAGGUGUUUUAUAAUUAAAUAGUUUUAGAGUUGCAAUUCUCUGACAUCCUGAUCCAUUACAAUACUCCCAACAUUAUGUUUUUGGAAGUGCUUUAAACAAAUCGUAAGCCUGACUUUAUAAUGCACAGUACACACCUGGACAGAUGAAGACUGGAAAAACGUAGCCUGGUCUGAUGAAUCUCAAUUUCUGCUGAGGCACGCAAAUGGUAGGGUCAGAAUUUGGCACCAACAGGAUAAAUACAUGAACCCAAUCUGCCUUGUGUCAACUGUUGAGGCUGGUGGAGGUGGUGUAAUGCUGUGGGGAAUGUUUUCUUGAAAUUUUGGCCCAGUUAAAACCAAUCAAUCAUCGCUUGAAUAACACAGCCUAUUUGAGUAUUGUUGUUGACCAUGUGCAUCCCUUCAUGCCCACAAUUUUACCAUCUUCUAAUGGCUACUUCCAGCAUGAUAAUGCACCAUGUCACAAAGCAAAAGUCAUCUCAAACUGGUUUCAUAAACAUGACAAUGAGUUCAGUGUUCUUCAGUGGCCUUCCCAGUCACCAGAUCUGAAUCCAGUAGAUCACCUUUGGGAUGUGGGAGAACGGGAGAUUUGCAGGAUGAAAGAUGCACCUGAAAAAUCUGCAGUAAUUGCUUGAUGCAAAAUUAUGUCAACAUGAACCAGAAUCUCAAAGCAAUGUUUCCAACAUCUUGUGGAAUCCAUGCCACGAAGAACUGAGGCUGUUUUGAGAUCAAAGGGAGGUCCUACCCAGUAUUAGUAUAGUGUUCCUAAUAAAGUGUUCAGGGAGUGUAAUUUGCAAAAAAAAAAAAACUAAGCAGGUUACAUCUUUAAAUUUGAUACAAUUAGAUUGUGCUCUCUACUGCUCUAGGUAUAAUACUAUUUAUUCAUGAUCGUAACCAGUCU